UACGGAGGGUGCAAGCGUUGUCCGGAUUUAUUGGGUUUAAAGGGUGCGUAGGUGGCCCUGCAAGUCCGUGGUGAAAGCCUGCUGCCUCAACAGCAGAACUGCCAUGGAUACUACAGGGCUUGAGUCCAGACGAGGUUGGCGGAAUGGAAGAUGUAGCGGUGAAAUGCAUAGAUAUCUUCCAGAACCCCGAUUGCGUAGGCAGCUGACUAGGCUGGUACUGACACUGAGGCACGAAAGCGUGGGGAGCGAACAGG
rnacentral:rRNA from 1 species